rnacentral:rRNA from 1 species
UACGUAGGAUGCAAGCGUUGUCCGGAUGUAUUGGGUUUAAAGGGUGCGUAGGCGUCCUAUUAAGUUAGUGGUGAAAUCGUGCGGCUUAACCGGAUACCCGCCAUUGAUACUGAUAGACUUGAGUGCGACAGAGGGUGUUGGAAUGUGUGGUGUAGCGGUGAAAUGCUUAGAGAUCACGCAGAACACCAAUUGCGAAGGCAGAUGCCUAUGUCGUAACUGACGAUGAGGCACGAAAGAGUGGGGAGCAAACAGG